rnacentral:rRNA from 1 species
CCUACGGGGCGCAGCAGUGGGGAAUAUUGGACAAUGGGCGAAAGCCUGAUCCAGCCAUGCCGCGUGUGUGAAGAAGGCCUUCGGGUUGUAAAGCACUUUCAGUGGGGAAGAAAGCCUUGGGGCUAAUACCCUCGAGGAAGGACAUCACCCACAGAAGAAGCACCGGCUAACUCCGUGCCAGCAGCCGCGGUAAUACGGAGGGUGCGAGCGUUAAUCGGAAUUACUGGGCGUAAAGCGCGCGUAGGCGGUCUGAUAAGCCGGUUGUGAAAGCCCCGGGCUCAACCUGGGAACGGCAUCCGGAACUGUCAGGCUAGAGUGCAGGAGAGGAAGGUAGAAUUCCCGGUGUAGUGGUGAAAUGCGUAGAGAUCGGGAGGAAUACCAGUGGCGAAGGCGGCCUUCUGGACUGACACUGACGCUGAGGUGCGAAAGCGUGGGUAGCAAACAGGAUUAGAUACCCGAGUAGUC